rnacentral:tRNA from 1 species
GUAGAGAUGGCUCAGCACUUAAGAGCACUGGCUGUCUUGCAGAAGACCUGGGUUCAAUUCCCAGUAUCCAUA